rnacentral:rRNA from 1 species
AUUGAACGCUGGCGGCAGGCCUAACACAUGCAAGUCGAACGAGUGGGGGACAGGUGUGUGAUGUCUGUGAAACUGUCCGCUGGAGGGGGAUAUCUACACGAAAAGGUAGCUAUUACCGCAUACCAUAUGGUGUGACCCGAUGGGGUUAGCUCGUAGGUGAGGGAACGGGUCACCUAGGCGACGCUCCCUCGCUGGUGUGAGAGGAGGACCAGCCACACUGGGACUGAGACACGGGCCAGACUCCUACGUGAGGCAGCAGUGGGGAAUAUUGCACAAUGGGCGCAAGCCUGAUGCAGCCAGGCCGCGUGUAUGAAGAAGGCCUUCGGGUUGUAAAGUACUUUCAGCGGGGAGGCGUUACCCGCAGAAGAAGCACCGGCUAACUCCGUGCCAGCAGCCGCGGUAAUAC